rnacentral:misc_RNA from 1 species
GCAGCUUUUCAAGGCUUCAAGCUAGAACAAUCAAUCUCUCGCUUCCCAUUGUUGUCAAACUCAAUCUCCAACCGGCAUCAACGCGAUUCUUCGCAACCUUCAACAGAAACCAAAGCCUCGUAGCAAUGCAAUCUCGAAAAGAAGACACCACACCAACGCAAGCAAUGACCUCUUUUCAAGAAUCACUCCCCUUGGUGACCUAGUUAUCAGUUUGGUUCCAGUAAUUGAUAAAUGGGUUGAAGAGGGCAAGAUGAUCAAAGGCUUCCAAC